GUGGGGAAUAUUGGACAAUGGGCGAAAGCCUGAUCCAGCCAUGCCGCGUGUGUGAAGAAGGUCUUCGGAUUGUAAAGCACUUUAAGUUGGGAGGAAGGGCAGUAAGUUAAUACCUUGCUGUUUUGACGUUACCGACAGAAUAAGCACCGGCUAACUUCGUGCCAGCAGCCGCGGUAAUACGAAGGGUGCAAGCGUUAAUAGGAAUUACUGGGCGUAAAGCGCGCGUAGGUGGUUUUGUAAGUUGGAGGUGAAAUCCCCGGGCUCAACGUGGGAACUGCCUCCAAAACUGCAUGACUAGAGUACGGUAGAGGUUAGUGGAAUUUCCUGUGUAGCGGUGAAAUGCGUAGAUAGAGGAAGGAACACCAGUGGCGAAGGCGACUACCUGGACUGAUACUGACACUGAGGUGCGAAAGCGUGGGGAGCAAACAGGAUUAGAUACCCUAGUAGUCC
rnacentral:rRNA from 1 species